GAUGAACGCUGGCGGCGUGCCUAAUACAUGCAAGUCGAGCGAACAGACGAGGAGCUUGCUCCUCUGACGUUAGCGGCGGACGGGUGAGUAACACGUGGAUAACCUACCUAUAAGACUGGGAUCACUUCGGGAAACCGGAGCUAAUACCGGAUAAUAUAUUGAACCGCAUGGUUCAAUAGUGAAAGACGGUUUUGCUGUCACUUAUAGAUGGAUCCGCGCCGCAUUAGCUAGUUGGUAAGGUUACGGCUUACCAAGGCAACGAUGCGUAGCCCACCUGAGAGGGGGGUACGCCCACCUUGAACCUGAGCACCGGCCCAGCUCCUAAGGGAAGGCACAGUAGGGGAACCUUCGCAAAUGGGGGAAACCUGGACGAAGCAACGCGGGGUGGGUGAUGAAGGUCUUCGGACGGAAAACCGUUGUAUUAGGGAAGAACAAAUGUGUAAGUAACUAUGCACGUCUUGACGGUACCUAAUCAGAAAGCCACGGCUAACUACGUG
rnacentral:rRNA from 1 species